rnacentral:rRNA from 1 species
GAGUUUGAUCAUGGCUCAGAACGUACGCUGGCGGCACGCCUAAUACAUGCAAGUCGAACGAAGUAGCAAUACUUAGUGGCAGACGGGUGAGUAACAUGUAGGUAUCUUCCCAUUGGUGAGGAAUAACACGAGGAAACUUGUGCUAAUACCUCAUAAGUCUUUACGGAGAAAGCUUUAUGCGCCGAUGGAUGAGCCUGCACUUGAUUAGUUUGUUGGUAGGGUAAUGGCCUACCAAGACAAUGAUCAAUAGCUGAUUUGAGAGGAUGAUCAGC